CCCAGACCUGUUGUCAUUCACAUUUACAUUGGAAAAACAUGUAAGUCCUACUGAAGAGGAUGCAAGCACUGGCAACAUAGGGAGAGAGAUACCUCUGUGGGAUCCAGGAGCAUGUAAGCCUGGGGCUGAAACAGCACCCAAGAAAGAGACUGAACCACGGACAAUGGCUGUUGUAAGAAAUAUCCGACCAGGGGAAUGAGCAGAAAGAGAAUGCCAGGUCAUGGAAGCUAACAUGAGAAUAAGAGAUAUGCUGCUGAUUGGAUAAGUCAAAAUACUCAGAGCUGAUGAAAACGCAUAAGGUUAGAGGUAUCAAGAGGCUUUGCAUUAUG
rnacentral:lncRNA from 1 species